GGGGCUUUAAUGGUUUCGACAGGUUGGCGAAAGCUACUCUGUGAUACAGGUCGAGAGCGAGUCUCCUCUCGCAAAUCAAAGACUCAAAAAAAAGUAAAUGCGAACAACAUCGUUCCUUUCGCUCGUAAAGCAGUUGCAGUAGCCUAAGUUAAAAACUUCUACCGUAAUUUGUGAGCGUCUGUAGUUUGACUCCGUUAAGGACUACAGACCAACCCUCAACGGAUGCUCUAGUUAGCGUUCUCUGGUUGGCUGACUAGCUAAGACUAAACCAGUGCAUCCCAUCGUUCGGGAUAAUGAACGGUUCCCUCCUUGAGGAUUAGAUAGGAUAAGCCUGUGAAUGAACGGGGAGUCAAUACCCAGACUGGACACGGGUUCAAUUCCCGUAAGCUCCAUAA
rnacentral:tmRNA from 1 species